AACGUACAUCAAGAGAGGGCUGACGCGCCCCGCCAACCUGCAGCUCGUGCAAGGUGGCAUCCCGUAAGGGAGAUGUGGCCAUAGUGGCAAUAUCGAGCGUC
rnacentral:ncRNA from 1 species